rnacentral:rRNA from 1 species
AUAAUGACUCUCGGCAACGGAUAUCUCGGCUCUCGCAUCGAUGAAGAACGCAGCGAAAUGUGAUACCUGGUGUGAAUUGCAAAAUCUCCUGAAUCAUCGAGUCUUUGAACGCAAGUUGUGCCCGAGACCAUUCGGCUGAGGGCACGCCUGCCUGGGCGUCAAGCG